CUUCUGCAGAAACUACUACCCUGGAAACCACUUCUGCAGAAACCACUACCCUUGGCACCAGUUCUGCAGAAACUGCUACCAUUGGCACCACUUCUGGAGAAAUUACUACACUUGGCACAACUUCUGCAAAACCUACUACCCUUGGCACAACUCCUGCAGAAACUACUACUCUGGGCACCACUUCUGUAGAAACUACUACCCUUGGCACUGCUUCUG